UACGUAGGGUGCAAGCGUUGUCCGGAAUUAUUGGGCGUAAAGAGCUCGUAGGCGGUCUGUCGCGUCGGAUGUGAAAAUCCAGGGCUCAACCUCCGGCCUGCAGUGGGUACGGGCAAACUAGAGUGCGGUAGGGGAGAUUGGAAUUCCUGGUGUAGCGGUGGAAUGCGCAGAUAUCAGGAGGAACACCGAUGGCGAAGGCAGAUCUCUGGGCCGUAACUGACGCUGAGGCACGAAGGCCAGGGGAGCAAACGGG
rnacentral:rRNA from 1 species